AGUAGACUGGUCCAGGCACCCUCUGGACCACUGCCAGCAGACCAAGGGUCUUUUCCUGUUAGCUAGCCUCUCUGGAGUUGUGGGUUGCAGUCUGGCCAUCCUUUCCCUCACAUCUGGUAUCUACUUAUGAAACUUUCCAUGGAACAGUAGCAGAAUUCAUUUUUAUCAGCAGCCUGAGC